CGGCAGGGGCUCGGCAGGGCCCGGGUCGCCCCACGGUCCCGCCCGCACUGCUUCCGUCCGGGGACGCUCCCCAGGGCCGUCCGAGCGGACUACGCGCGGGUCCCUGUGACUGGGGGGCGAGCGUGGGGCCGGCGUCUGCGCCCCUCCCGGAGGCGAGGCCGGGGUCGGGUUGGGACCAGCGCGCGCUUCCCUCCCCGCCGCGCAGGGGUCGGCCAGGGCCGCGGCUGGCGACAGGUGGCGGGGACCUGGGGGACAGGUCCCCGGGUAGCCUGGGGCGGGGAGCCGCCCCCACGGCCCUCAGAGCACCCUCCAGGUAUGAUGAUCAACCACACGACGGCCCCGCGCUGGCCCCGGCAGAGCCCCGUCCCCGGCGCGGGUCCGCAGGGCGAUCCAGGCGGCCGCGGCUCCACAGCCCCCGCCCUCCUCCAGCGGCAGCGCCCGCGGGGGCCGAUCGGGGUCAGGGCGGGGAGACGCGCGGAUUCCUCGGUGGCGUCGCCCGAACACCUGCUCGGCCCCAGGUGAGCCCCAGAACAGCCCCUUUCUCUGCCCUGGGGGAGCCGGGAAGAUGUGCAGCCCCAGCCCUCGUCCUCAGCGGAGCCUCGCGCGCGCAGAGCCUAGCGCGAUUCGCGCCCUCAUUACCACUACAAAGCGCGGGCCAGACCAAUCCCCUUUCUAAUGCACCAUUUUCGCCUGAGAACAUCAAGAGGCCAGAAACUUCCAAGUCAGCUUGCAGACGCAGACGCCUCCUGGGUCCUGGCUUUAAGAACCAGAUGCCAACAUUCCCGGACAGUUUAUGGCAUCCGGAUCCCUCAAGGGUGCUCAUCUGCAGUUGAGAGUCUAAUAAACGGCAUUAACAAAGCGUUUCAACGACUACCACGGCUUAACAGUGGCUCCUCCCCUGCCCUGCCACCAUUCGGGCCGUAAUUCCUUCCAGGAUUCCCGCACCGUCCUGUGUGCCCAGAGCUCUCUAGAGCACCAGGAUUCUAUGUGAAGAAUACAGAGACAGACGUUACAUUUCAAAGAAAAAAGGGCGAUACGACGGCCCUCUUUAAGGAGAGCGUAAACAUGCACUUUAGGUAAAAGCUAAUCGUUUACACGCCUGUGCACGGCACACCUCUUUUGCUGUUCGCCUUGACCCCGAGUUUGGAAAGACUGCCCCCAUUUCAGAGAGUAAGAAACGCAGGCACACGUGAAUGACAGACGACUCUGUGGUGGCCUAGACUCCAGCCGACACUUCUGGGACAACCUGCCAUCGUGCAUGGGUGUGUAACCUUGACUGCAGGUGGGGCAUUGAUUACUCUUUUAACCUUGAAAUGUAUUCCAGUCUUGGACGACUGGAUUGCCAAGAGCCAGGAAUCUGUGAAAACAGUUUGUUCUCAUUUUUCUCCUAAGUUAACACUGAGUGACUGAGUUUGACCCUUUGUUAACUAAAGGUCAACUGACAUCUUAGGACUUUUCAAACCUUAGUGUAUGUAAGAAGCCCAUGUUUACACCCAGAGUUCUGUGACCACCUGUAUAAAUUCUGGUUCAGUAGGUUUGGUGAGCAGCCCACGAUAUAGCAUUUUAAGCAAGCAUGGCAAGGAGAUGCUGAUGCUGGUGGUGCGGUGACCACAAUCUGAGAAGCUUCAGACGAGUAAUUGGCCUCUUAAAUGAGCCCUGGAUAAAUAAUUGGCCUCAUAAAUGAGCCCUGCAGCAGGCAGACUGCUGGGUGAGAAUGAGCCUACUUGGACCCUUUAAGGCAGCAGUCCCCAACCAUUUUGGCACCAGGAACCAGUUUAGUGGAAGACCAUUUUUUCAAUGAGGGGUUGGGAGGGUUGACGGAGUGGGGCUGGGGGAUGGGUGAUGGGUACUGGGGGUAUGGUUUCAGGGUGAAACCCUUCCACUUCAGAUCAUCAGGCAUUAGAUUCUCAUAAGGAGCCCACAACCUAGAUCCCUGGCAUGUGCAGUUCACAGUAGGGUUUGCGCUCCUAUGAGAACUAAUGCUGUGGCUGAUGUGACAGGAGGCGGAGCUCAGAGAGUAAUGCUCAUUCACUGCUCACCUCCUACUCUGCCUGGGAUUCCUAACAGGCCACGGACAAGUACCAACCAGCCCACUGCCUGGGGUUUUGGGGACCCCAGCUUUAAGGAACUGUACACUUGUUUCUAGAAAUUCAAGAGAAGGAAAAUAUGUUAUACUUACCCACAUUUUCUCUUUUUCAUUUGUUGUUUUUUCCUUCCUGAUGUUCCAUUAUUCUCUCUUUGAUUAAUUUCUUCUGUUUCAAGAGCAUUUUUUGGACAGUCUUUUAGAGUAGGUGUGUUGGUGACAUGUUCCCUUAGUUUUCCUGCAUCUGAAGUCUUGUUCUUCAGUCCUGCAGAGUAUUUUUGCGGGAUAUAGAAUUUGGGGUUGACAGCGUUUUUUCCUUUUAGCCCCUGAUAUACUGUGGUGCUUUCUUCCUUCUGUCAAGAUUUCUCAUGAUGAAAUCUGAUUUCUCUUACGAAAUCUGCUGUUAUUUGAAUUGCUUUUUCCCCAAUGUAAGUAAGGUGUGUUUUCUCUCUCCUUGAUUUAUUUGUCUUUCAUUUUUGGAAGUUUGCCUGUGAUCUAUCUUGGCAUGGAUUUCUUUAGGUUUAUUCUGUUUGAGGUUCUCUUGGCUUCUUUUGCCAAACUUGGGAAAUUUUCACCCAUUAUUUCUUCACAUACUUUUUCAGCCCUGCCCUCUUUCUCUUCCCUUUCCAGAACUCCAAUGACACUGAUAUUAGAUCUUUUGUUAUAAUCCCAGAGGUCCCUGAGGCUGUAUUAAUAUAUUAUUUAAAAACCUGUUUUCUCUCUGUUGUUCAGUUGGGCAAUUUCUGUUGUUCUAUCUUCGGGUUCACAGAUGGUUUCCUCUGUCCUCUCCACUGUGCUUUUGAGUCCAUUCAAUGAGUUUUUGCUUUGGUUACUGUAUUUUUCAGUUUUAAAAUUUCCCUUUCAUUCUUCUGUACAUUUUCUGCUUCUUUGCUGAGUUUUCUAUUUUUCAUGGUUUUUUUGCCUGUUCGUAAUCACCUGUUAGAGGAUUUUUCUGAUGGCCCCUGCAGAGUCUUUGUCAGAUUAUUCCAACAUCUGUGUCACCUCAGUGUUGGCAACCGUUGAUUGUCUUAUCUCGUUCAAAUUGAGCUUUUCUUGGUUCUUGGAAUGAUGAAUGGUUUUUUCUUUUUUCUUGAAACAUGGGCGUUUUGGGGGUUAGGCUAUGAUCUGGAGCUUAUUUAAAUCUUCUAUUAUAGUGGCCUCUGCUGCCACCACCCUGGCUUGGGAGGAGGUGCUCCUCACGUGGCCUCCACUGGCACUGUGGAGUGGAGGCAUCUUACCACUGGAAGGUGACGAAUGUCCCAGUUCUUACUCAACCUUGACAACCCCAGUGGGGAGAGGGCAGUGCUGAUUAUCCCCUGGGUGGUGGAUGGGGUGGGUAGUGUAGGUGUUCAGGCUCCCAGGUGGCCUCUGCUGAUGCUCUGUUGAGAGAGCUCGUUGCUGUCCUGCAGGGAUGACUGUCUGCUCCCUCCCUUCUCUGACACCAUCAUGUUGUUCAGGGUGGCGUCUCCUGCAGCAGGCUGAGGGGGUCUGUCUAGCUUUCCACUCCUCUUUGCUGAUGGGGUUAGAGUUGGAGCCACAGUCUUUUCUCUGGUGUUUGGUUGUAGUGGGAUGGUUAUGGUCUAAAAGGUUUUGGUUUCUUGGCUUCUCUCUUACAGUCACCAUGUAACAAAUGCAGACAUCUCUGAGAUCACCAUGUAGUGAGGAAGUCCAAGCUAGUGGCAUGAAGAGGCCACAUGGAAAGGGCUAAAAAAGGGGCCAGCCUUAGUCAUCCCAGCUGAGCACCUGGCUAGGAGUAAAGGAGGUCCCCAUGGAUAUCCAGCCCGGCCAUCAAACUGCCAGUGGGAAGGGUGCCCAGGUAACCUGCCCACGUCAGGACGGCCAGGAGAUGGCGGAACCAGAAUCUAAGCCCACUCCCAUCUGACUUCAACGUCUGUGCCCCUGAUGUUUGCACCGAGUCACCUCCUAAGACUUUCUGAAACUGGAUCACAUCCAUUUAUCUCUGAGAGAAAUGCAAGCUUUAAAAAAGGAAAUAUUUACUAUGGAUAUUUUACAAUAGUUCCAAAACAUGAAAGUUUUAAAUAAAACAUUCUUAACCAUCCUCACCACAUCUUCAGGUUCCCUUACAGCUACUAUAUUUUGAUGAUUGCCCAUUAGAAAAAUAGACUAUGCUUUCUGUAGGUUUUAAAGGAAUGGUGGUGAAAUAGGGAGCAUUCCUUGAGCACAUCCUGCCUGUGGGCAUGCCUCUGAGCACUGGACCAGGCCAGAAGAGCCAGGCUGCUUUGGGAUCCCGGCACUGCCAAUGGCAGGUGGGCUAUGACCCAGGGAGAGAACAUAGCCUUUUGCAUUCUGUUGCCCCAUUUGAAAAUGGAGAUGAUAGUGGUGCCACCCUCAGUGUUAUUUUGAGGAUUUGAAUGUAUCUCAGACGUUGUACCUGAAAAAAUAUAAAUGCUCAGUAAAUACGGUUGCCAGAUAAAAUGCAGGAAACCUAUUUAAAUUUAAGUUUUGGCUGGACAAUGAAUAGAAUAAUUUUUUUUUUUUUUAGUGUGAGUAUGUCCUUAUAUUUUAUCUGCUAAAUUUAGCAACCUCCUCAGUAAAUGAUCACUACAAUUGCAAAAACUCCUUGUGACAAAUAUAGUAAAUCUAUAAAGAAAUAGGAACUUGCAUUUAUUUUUACUAAGCUCUGACUGGUUAAGAUAACUGGGCAAGAGAAGAUAUAUUCGACUAAACUUGCAGAAUGUAGAGUACAGAGAUUCAAAUUUGAAGUCCUAUAGGACUGGAUUGGCCAGAGGCGAACUGUAGAGAGCUUAUGUAAAGAGUCCUGAUUUCAAAAGUUCCUCAGAGACUUAAAUGGGCCCACAGACCCCUCCUGUGUCUCUGCAUAAGCCAGCUCGUUAUAUCAGUUAUAAAUUGAUUUCUAGAGAAAUGUACCCUGGAGGUCCCUCUCCCACUUGAAAUAGGACUGGCCAAUCUAGAUGUCCCCCAGGUUAUGUUGACUCAAGUAUAGCUCCAUACAUUGGAGAAUCUAUUCAAGAAAACAAGCAAAAGUAUUUGUGACUGAGUUAGCUAAUGCCAGCUGGUAUCUUGAACAAAUCCAGAUCUCUAACAUGCUAGUUUAUUUCUUAGUGUAAAAUGUGUGUUAUUGAUGGGCAGACAGCUCUCAUUCAAGCAGUGACAGAUGCAAGCUCUUCCCAUUUUUGUGGCCUCGUUGUAUUCAGUGUGUGGCUUCCAAGGUGCCUGGGAUCGUCUCCACCAAGACUAAGGAAGAGGAAAGAGCUUGGAGAAGUGCACUUGGCUGGUUUUUACGGAUCAGGCAUGGAAUUGGCUCCAACACGUUAGCUCACAUUCCAUUGGUUAGAACUGGGUUUCUCAACUAUUAGUACCGGGUGAGUGUAGGGUUUUGGCACCAUGGGCAUUUGAGCUGGCCAAAGGCUAACCAGGGUUAGAACAAAGCCACAAAGCCUGUGAAUGGUGUUUAUUGUUGUGAGGAGCUGUCCUGUGCAUUGUGGAAUGUUCAGCAGGAUGCUCUCUGGCCUCAGAGACUCAGUAGCUUCCCAUAGAACUCUCCUCUCUCUUCCAGUUGUGACAACCACAGAUGCCUCCUCUCCAGACAUUGCUAGAUGUCCCCUGGGAGGCAAAAUUAUCCUGGUUGAAAACCACUGUGUUAGAACUCGGUCACAUGGCCACACCUAACUGCAAGGGAGGCUGGAAGAUCUAGACGAGUAGUAUGCCAGGAAGAAAAUAAAAAUGAUUUAGAGGCUGCUGGCCAGUCACUUUCAGUGACCUUCAGCAUACUGAUUCCUCUGCAGCUAUGGGGAUACUUGUGCCUGUUUCUGACUGUUUCCUGUGUGAGGGGACAUAGAACCGGAGGGGUGACAUGUUGGACUUGGGUAGGGUGAAGAGGAUUGGAAAUCACCAUCAUGUUUGGCAGCAUUGAAUGUUUAUGACUAUUUGAAUAGUUGUGACAAGGGGACAGUGAAGGAGGAAAUAACCAUUUUUGAAUACCCUUUUACAAUUUGCAAGGCACUUUUAAAGGUAAGAAUGAGUUCCUAGACCAUAUUAGAGUGAGAAUGGACAUUGUUGGCUCCCAUAUCAUUGGGCAGGGGCUUUGAGAUCUUUGUCUUAAAAAGGCAGAUUGGAUUUGGAGUAGAAGGAGAAAUGUAAAGACCUGUAUCUGAGUGUGUUUGCAGAGGGGAAUUGUCAUUUGGAAGCACAAGAAAGGGAAUGGUCCAUUGGCACAUAUGGUACAUUGUGUUUUCAUAUAAUUAUACCUGAAUGAAAGCAAGAGGAAACGUGUAGGAAGCUGUUUAUGUAGUCCUUUUAAUAAUGUUUAUGUGAGUUAAUGAACAUGCAAACGUAUCUGAUGAAAACAUGUCAGUAGUGAAACAGCCUUGUGAAGAAUCGGAUCUUACCUCAGGCUGGAAAAAAGGACAGGUUUUCCAAGCUCACAAAUUGCAGCCAGUGUGAAUAGUAGCACAAAUGACUUUGAGCUUUAAGACAUCCAUCCAUCCAUCCAUCCAUCCAUCCAUCCAUCCAUCCAUCCAUCAUCCAUCCCCUCAUCCAUCCAUCCAUCCAUAAUUCCAUCUGUUCACCCAUCCAUCCCUUCAUCAAUCCAUCUGUCCUUCCUUCCUUCCUUCCUUCCUUCCUUCCAUUCAUCCCUUCAUCCAUCCAUCCAUCCACUCAUUCAUCCCUUCAUCCAUCCAUUCCUUCAUCCACUCAUCCCUUCAUCUGUCUGUCUACCAUUCAUCUGCCCCUUCAUCCAUCUAUUCAUUUAUCCAUCCAUCCAUCCAUCCAUCCAUCCUUCCAUUCAUCCUUCCAUGUGUUCAGCAAGUAUUUACUGAACACCUAUUAUGUACCAAGCACUCUCCUCAGAACUCAGGAAAUACCAGUAAACAAAACCAACAAAAAUCCCUCACCACCUAGAUACUACAUUUUGAUGGAAAGAGACAAAUAAAACUGGUGAGUGAAUCACAUAGGUUAUUAGAAGGUGAUAAAGGUGUAGGUGAUAAAGGAGAAGUGCCAGGAGCAAGGAUUGGGUACAGUUGUGAAUAAGGUGGCACCAAUAGGUUGCACGGAGAAGGUGGCAUUUGCACAGAGACUUGAAGAAAGCAAGGAGAGAACAUGACUAUCUGGAGAACAGCAUUUGUGGAAGAGGGGACAGCCAGUGCAAAAGUUCCAAGGCAUGAGUGCCUGGUGCGUACACGGAACAUCAAGGAGGCCAGCGUGGCAGAAAUGCGGUGAGUCCAGGAAGAGAAUAGGAAAUAAGUGUAGGAAGGUAGUGGUGUACAGUGGGGUGGCGUGGGGGUGGAAUUGUGGCAGACAGAUGGUGUUGGUAUAAGGCCUCUUGGCCCUUUUGUUUACCAUGGCGCAACAGACCCGUGAGAUCGGCAAAAAUUAAAAAGUCUGACAACAGAAAAUCUGGAAAUCUGGUGAGGAUGUGGAGCAGUGGGAAUUCUCCAGUACUGUCAGGGGGCAUGGGCAUCGAUCCCACCACACUGGAAUGUAAAGGGGCAUUCUGAGUAGAACUGAACAUCUGCCCAUCCUUGACCCCACAGUUCCAGCCAUGGGCGUGCAAAUGAACGUGCACACGUGUUGACUGCAGCAUUUGUUUGUAAUUAUGAAAACAUCUAAGUUUCCAUAUACGGGAGAGGGGAUAACAUGGGAGUGCCCUACAGUGGAGUUCUAGGGAGCAGUAAAAAUAAAUGGAUUAGAGUUGUACACGUCAAAAUGGAUGAAGAUAAAAGACAUGAGGAUGAGAGAAGAACACCUGGCCACAGAAGUAUAUGUCCCGUAUGACGCUGGUAUAUCCAGAGCGUUCAAGCAAACAACACAACACUACUCAUUGUUUCCGACAUGAGUAUGAAAGUAUGGAGCAGUGCAGAGGGCCAGGAGCGCUGAAUCCAGAUGGUUACCUCUCCAGGCAGGGGCCGAGGACCAGGGCUGGAGGUUCACUCCAGGAGCUUCAGUGGCGCAUGCUGAAUGUGCUGUUUCUCGGGCUGGGGGACAGAGACGUGCAUGCUGUUAUACACUCUAUACUGAAAUGAUUAUAUAACAAUAUGCUAAUUUAUCGUGUAGUAAAUUUGACCAGAAAAAAAAAAACUAUUCUGUGACGGCUUCCAUGACUGGAUUCCACAUUGUAGGUUUCUAAGCAGAGAAUCCAAGAAAACCAAAGGAGCGGCGAAGGAAAGCCCCUCGGGUGUUCUGGGAGUGCCCCUUUGCUUGGGUUACUCUAUUAGAGUCGAGAAAACCCAGGACUUGUGACAACUGGAGUCAACCUGGGAUCCUGGCACCAAAUGCCAGCAGAAACAAUCCUGCGCCCCCCGGAAGAUGAGAUGAGGUUCUUUCUGGAACAUGAGUGCAGUUGGAGAGCUUCAGGCAGGAAGCCCAGUCGUCCUUACCCUGCGUGGCCCACCAGGAAUCAUGAAUGGCGUCAGCCUCAGGGAGCUAUGAGCCUGGUGUCUGAGACACAGCUUGGGCCUUUGUACUGCUGGAAGCACAGGGAACGCUGAGGGUUGAUCAACUGCCUGGCAGAGACAAACUGGCAUGCUCGUCAGUGUGAGAACAAAGCCACAGACCUAGGAGUGGCAUUUUGCAGAUCUGCUGUUUUUCAAAAAAAACUUGUGCUUGAAUGUGUAUAACAUAAAAUUUACCAUUUAA